AAACAAAGAAAAUGGAGUGUCAAGAAGUGAGUCAAAGUUAGAAACCAAGUAUUGCUUAACAAAAAUGAGAACAGCCAAGACUAUGGAGAAUCCCUACUCACCUACAGUAUGUCUUCCUUCAACAUAUUUGAUCACUGGCCUUUCUGAAAGUGUGUCUCAUCCACAGUAUCAAGCGAUCAGCUUGAAGAAAAGAUAAAGGUCAGAAGCAGGCUUAAGGAGAUGGACAGAAGUCCUGAGUGAGAAAUAAACAAAGGAAGUUCCUCUGCAGUAGAACUAUUUAAAACAUAUGCCAAUAAAAUGUUCAAAGGAUUCCUACAGGGCUCCAAAGAUAAACA